AGAGUUUGAGUGGAGCAGAGAUUUAGUUUCCGUCGGUAUGCGCCAAGAACCAUCUCCCUUAGAUUAAAAAAAUAGUAGUGGUUAAUGGCUUCAUGCUCUAGCGGUUCAUCUCCUUUCCUCGGGAACAACAAAACUAAUCGCGAAAAUGGUAACAACCUUGGUGGGGACCGCGGUAUGGAAAAUCACAAGGCUAUGUUGUGCAAUAUUUCUUGAGGUCUUUUAUGGUAGGAGCAGAGCGAUAUAUAGACCAUCCAUUGUACUCGAUGAAGGGAUGAAAUCCAUCAAAACUAGCAAAUCAAACUAGCAUUUUGCUUAGGUAAAAAAAAUCAGAAGACCUCCACAGGAGGAAGGAGGUGGGCGGUUGCUGAUGGAGUUGCAGCGCCAGUGUGAGGUAUUGCUGGCCCUCGUGCUCCGUAGCUCAUCUUGUUGGUUUCUACUCAUCAUGGAGACGCGCAUGUUUGCC
rnacentral:lncRNA from 1 species